GCGGGUAUCGUCCAAUGGUAGGGCACAGGCUUCCCAAGCCUGGGAUGCGGGUUCGAUCCCCGCCACCCGCUCCA
rnacentral:tRNA from 1 species